rnacentral:rRNA from 1 species
UACGGGGGGAGCAAGCGUUGUUCGGAUUUACUGGGCGUAAAGGGCGCGUAGGCGGCCUCUGAAAGUCAGUUGUGAAAUCUCCGGGCUUAACUCGGAAAGGGCAACUGAUACUGCAGGGCUAGAGUGCGGAAGGGGCAACUGGAAUUCUCGGUGUAGCGGUGAAAUGCGUAGAUAUCGAGAGGAACACCUGCGGCGAAGGCGGGUUGCUGGGCCGACACUGACGCUGAAGCGCGAAGGCUAGGGGAGCGAACGGG